GAUGAAGAACGCAGCGAAAUGCGAUAAGUAGUGUGAAUUGCAGAAUUUAGUGAAUCAUCGAAUCUUUGAACGCACAUUGCGCCCUUUGGCAUUCCGAAGGGCAUGCCUGUUCGAGCGUCAUUAUCACCCAUCAAGCCCCCCUGGCUUGGUGUUGGACGGUUUUGGUGGGACGUGCAGCCUCUCACCCCUCCUAAAGACAAUGACGGCGGCGUCGUUGGAACCCCCGGUACACUGAGCUUCUUAACUGAGCACGUACUGGAUGCGGGUACGCGAUGCACGGUCUGCCUCCCCUUUAGGGAGAACUUUUUCUUAAGGUUGACCUCGGAUCAGGUAGGAAUACCCGCUGAACUUAAGCAUAUCAAUAAGCGGAGGA
rnacentral:misc_RNA from 1 species